rnacentral:rRNA from 1 species
CCUGGUUGAUCCUGCCAGUAGUCAUAUGCUUGUCUCAAAGAUUAAGCCAUGCAUGUCUAAGUUCAAGCGAAAAUAAAGUGAAACCGCGAAUGGCUCAUUACAUCAGCUAUGGUUCCUUAGAUCGCACUUACUACUUGGAUAACUGUGGUAAUUCUAGAGCUAAUACAUGCGCUGGGCCCCAACCCUCGUGGAAGGGGCGCUUUUAUUAGAUCAAAGCCAAUCGGGCCUUCGGGCUCGUUAACUUGGUGACUCUGAAUAACUUUGCUGAUCGCACGGUCUCGCACCGGCGACGUAUCUUUCAAGUGUCUGCCUUAUCAACUGUCGAUGGUAGGUUAUGCGCCUACCAUGGUGGUAACGGGUAACGGGGAAUUAGGGUUCGAUUCCGGAGAGGGAGCCUGAGAAACGGCUACCACAUCCAAGGAAGGCAGCAGGCGCGCAAAUUACCCACUCCCAGCUCGGGGAGGUAGUGACGAAAAAUAACGAUACGGAACUCUUAUGAGGCUCCGUAAUCGGAAUGAGUACACUUUAAAUCCUUUAACGAGGAUCUAUUGGAGGGCAAGUCUGGUGCCAGCAGCCGCGGUAAUUCCAGCUCCAAUAGCGUAUAUUAAUGUUGUUGCGGUUAAAAAGCUCGUAGUUGGAUCUCGUUUUCGGGCGAGCGGUGCGCCUUGCGGCGUCUACUGUUUGCCCGGACGAUUUUGCUGGUUCGUUCCUGGUUCUCUUAACCGAGUGCCAGGAGUGGCCAGCACGUUUACUUUGAAAAAAUUGGAGUGCUCAAAGCAGGCGCUACAGCCUGAACAUUAGUGCAUGGAAUAAUGGAAUAGGACCUCGGUUCUAUUUCGUUGGCUUUCGGAGUCGAGGUAAUGAUUAAUAGGGACAGACGGGGGCAUUCGUACUGCGACGUUAGAGGUGAAAUUCUUGGAUCGUCGCAAGACGAACUACUGCGAAAGCAUUUGCCAAGAAUGUUUUCAUUAAUCAAGAACGAAAGUUAGAGGUUCGAAGGCGAUCAGAUACCGCCCUAGUUCUAACCAUAAACGAUGUCGACUGGCGAUCCGCUAUCGUUAACUGAAAGACUUAGCGGGCAGCCUCCGGGAAACCAAAGUGUUUGGAUUCUGGGGGGAGUAUGACUGCAAAAUUGAAACUUAAAAGAAUUGACGGAAGGGCACCACCAGGAGUGGAGCCUGCGGCUUAAUUUGACUCAACACGGGAAAUCUCACCAGGCCCGGACACCGGUAGGAUUGACGAA